GCGUUAAUCGGAAUUACUGGGCGUAAAGCGUGCGCAGGCGGUUCGGAAAGAAAGAUGUGAAAUCCCAGAGCUUAACUUUGGAACUGCAUUUUUAACCACCGGGCUAGAGUGUGUCAGAGGGAGGUGGAAUUCCGCGUGUAGCAGUGAAAUGCGUAGAUAUGCGGAGGAACACCGAUGGCGAAGGCAGCCUCCUGGGAUAACACUGACGCUCAUGCACGAAAGCGUG
rnacentral:rRNA from 1 species